rnacentral:rRNA from 1 species
GCGACCCCAGGACGGGCGAGGCCACCCGCCGAGUUUAAGC